UCACAGCGCCGGUACCAGAAGUUUCCUUUUUUCAUUUAUGUAUCUGAAGAAUUUCCUAUCACAUUUUUUCACUGACUGGGCUAAUUUAUUUUCUGCCUGUGCUUUAGAAGCUCUUAUAACUUGCUUGGUCUCUCUCUGCCUAAUCUUAUAAAUUUCCCUGUCAUCCUCGUUUUUUUUUUUUGUUUUUUUUUUAAUUACUAAAUGCUAU